rnacentral:rRNA from 1 species
AUACGUAGGCAGCAAGCGUUGUUCGGAAUUACUGGGCGUAAAGAGUGCGUAGGCGGUUGGCUAAGUUUGGUGUGAAAUCUCCCGGCUCAACUGGGAGGGUGCGCCGAAAACUGGCCGGCUAGAGUGUGGGAGAGGUAAGUGGAAUUCCUGGUGUAGCGGUGAAAUGCGUAGAUAUCAGGAGGAACACCUGCGGUGUAGACGGCUUACUGGACCAUGACUGACGCUGAGGCACGAAAGCGUGGGGAGC